GUCCCAGUUCGGACUGUAGUCUGCAACCCGACUACACGAAGCUGGAAUCGCUAGUAAUCGCGAAUCAGAAUGUCGCGGUGAAUACGUUCCCGGGUCUUGUACACACCGCCCGUCACACCAUGGGAGUCGGGAAUGCCCGAAGUUAGUGACCCAACCUAUUGGAGGGAGCUGCCGAAGGCAGGUCUGAUAACUGGGGUGAAGUCGUAACAAGGUAGC
rnacentral:rRNA from 1 species